rnacentral:rRNA from 1 species
AUGGCCGGCACCGGCUCGAGCUCCUCGAGCCAAGGAGAAGAUAAACGAUCGCUGGGUGUGAAGCGAAUGGAGGUGGUAUUUGAUAGCGGUAGCACCUAUACCUACUUCGCUGCUCAGCCAUACCAAGCGACUGUUUCUGUGCUCCAAGCUGGUCUCAGCAAGUCACUUAAACAAGUAUCGGACCCUAGUCUGCCUCUCUGCUGGAAAGGGCAAAAUGUGUUCAAAUCUCUGUCUGAAGUCAGUAAGGACUACAAGUCACUUUUCUUGAGCUUUGCGAAGAAUACCGUCAUGGAGAUCGCUCCUGAAAACUAUCUCAUUGUCACUAAAAAUGGUCGGCCUCUAAACUGA